rnacentral:rRNA from 1 species
CCUGAUCCAGCCAUGCCGCGUGAGUGAAGAAGGCCUUCGGGUUGUAAAGCUCUUUCGGCCGGGAAGAAAUCGCAUCGGCUAAUACCUGGUGUGGAUGACGGUACCGGAAUAAUAAGCACCGGCUAACUACGUGCCAGCAGCCGCGGUAAUACGUAGGGUGCGAGCGUUAAUCGGAAUUACUGGGCGUAAAGCGUGCGCAGGCGGUUUUUUAAGACAGACGUGAAAUCCCCGGGCUCAACCUGGGAACUGCGCUUAUGACUGGAAGACUAGAGUACGGCAGAGGGGGGUGGAAUUCCACGUGUAGCAGUGAAAUGCGUAGAGAUGUGGAGGAACACCGAUGGCGAAGGCAGCCCCCUGGGCCGAUACUGACGCUCAUGCACGAAAGCGUGGGGAGCAAACAGGAUUAGAUACCCUGGUAGUCCACGCCCUAAACGAUGUCAACUAGGUGUUGGGUGGGUAAAACCAUUUAGUACCGUAUCUAACGCGUGAAUUUGACCGCGUGGAGAGUACGGCCGCAGGGUUA